rnacentral:rRNA from 1 species
UGGGGGAUAUUGCACAAUGGGCGAAAGCCUGAUGCAGCGACGCCGCGUGGGGGAUGAAGGCCUUCGGGUUGUAAACUUCUUUUGCUCUGAACAAGGCAUGCCUUUGGGGUGUGUUGAGUGUAGGGGUUGAUUAGCGCCGGCUAACUACGUGCCAGCAGCCGCGGUAAUACGUAGGGCGCGAGCGUUGUCCGGAAUUAUUGGGCGUAAAGGGCUUGUAGGUGGCUGGUUGCGUCUGUCGUGAAAGCUCAUGGCUUAACUGUAGGUUUGCGGUGGGUACGGGCUGGCGUGAGUGCAGUAGGGGGGGCUGGAAUUCCUGGUGUAGCGGUGGAAUGCGCAGAUAUCAGGAGGAAUACCGGUGGCGAAGGCGGGUCUCUGGGCUGUUACUGACGCUGAGGAGCGAAAGCGUGGGGAGCGAACAGG